AUGCACUUCCUGUCUGCUUCUGGGCUCAUGCACUUCCUGUCUGCUUCUGGGCUCAUGCACUUCCUGUCUCUGCUGGGGCUCAUGCACUUCCUGUCCCUGCAGGGGCUCAUGCACUUCCUGUCCCUGCAGGGGCUCUUGCACUUCCUGUCUGCUUCUGGGCUCAUGCACUUCCUGUCUCUGCUGAGGGCUCACUGGGGGCUCAUGCACUUCCUGUCUCUGCUGGGGCUCAUGCACUUCCUGUCUGCAUCUGGGCUCAUGCACUUCCUGUCUGCUGGGGCUCAUGCACUUCCUGUCUGCAUCUGGGCUCAUGCACUUCCUGUCCCUGCAGGGGCUCAUGCACUUCCUGUCUGCUGGGGACUCGUGCACUUCCUGUCUCUGCAGUCCAAGGGCGGUCUGGCCCCUCACUUCUGCUGCUCUGCAGAAGCCCAGGAUGCUCUGUGGUCUUUCCCACCUUUGGUUGGGAUGAGCAUAGAGGAGAGGGAGGAGGAGGGGGAGGGGGAGGGGGAGGGAGGGCCAGCUGCUGACUCACUGGGAGGGGCUGCACAUGCUGACUGCAAGGCAGGUCCCUACUGGGAGGUGGCAUUGGCUUCCUGUUCCCAGGCCUGUCCCCUGUCUCUCCCUCCUGUCCUUGUGCCUGGGGGGCCCAGCUGUUGGCACGGUAGACUCCCGGUGCUGGUGCCAGUGCCGUGGAACCCUCGUGCCUCCUCUCCACGGUGGCCUCAGGCCCUCCUGGGUCCAGAGACUGGGAGAGGAAGGGCUGCCCGCCCUAGGGGAGGGUCCCCAUAG
rnacentral:lncRNA from 1 species